GCCCGCGUGGCGGAAUGGUAGACGCAGGGGAUUCAAAAUCCCCCGCCGAAAGGCUUGCCGGUUCGAGUCCGGCCGCGGGUACCA
rnacentral:tRNA from 1 species